CCUACGGUGGCAGCAGUGGGGAAUAUUGGACAAUGGGCGAAAGCCUGAUCCAGCCAUGCCGCGUGUGUGAAGAAGGCCUUCGGGUUGUAAAGCACUUUCAGUGGGGAAGAAAGCCUUGGGGCUAAUACCCUCGAGGAAGGACAUCACCCACAGAAGAAGCACCGGCUAACUCCGUGCCAGCAGCCGCGGUAAUACGGAGGGUGCGAGCGUUAAUCGGAAUUACUGGGCGUAAAGCGCGCGUAGGCGGUCUGAUAAGCCGGUUGUGAAAGCCCCGGGCUCAACCUGGGAACGGCAUCCGGAGCUGUCAGGCUAGAGUGCAGGAGAGGAAGGUAGAAUUCCCGGUGUAGCGGUGAAAUGCGUAGAGAUCGGGAGGAAUACCAGUGGCGAAGGCGGCCUUCUGGACUGACACUGACGCUGAGGUGCGAAAGCGUGGGUAGCAAACAGGAUUAGAUACCCCAGUAGUC
rnacentral:rRNA from 1 species